rnacentral:rRNA from 1 species
GAUGAACGCUGGCGGCGUGCCUAAUACAUGCAAGUCGAGCGAACGGACGAGAAGCUUGCUUCUCUGAUGUUAGCGGCGGACGGGUGAGUAACACGUGGAUAACCUACCUAUAAGACUGGGAUAACUUCUGGAAACCGGAGCUAAUACCGGAUGAUAUUUUUAACCGCAUGGUUCAAAAGUGAAAGACGGUCUUGCUGUCACUUAUAGAUGUAUCCGCGCUGCAUUAGCUAGUUGGUAAGGUAACGGCUUACCAAGGCAACGAUGCAUAGCCGACCUGAGAGGGUGAUAGGCCACACUGGAACUGAGACACGGUCAAGACUCCUACGGGAGGCAGCAGUAGGGAAUCUUCCGCAAAGGGCGAAAGCCUGACGGAGCAACGCCGCGUGAGUGAUGAAGGUCUUCGGAUCGUAAAACUCUGUUAUUAGGGAAGAACAUAUGUGUAAGUAACUGUGCACAACGUGACGGUACCUAAUCAGAAAGCCACGGCUAACUACGUG